GGCGGCAUGCCUUACACAUGCAAGUCGAACGGCAGCACGGGGGCAACCCUGGUGGCGAGUGGCGAACGGGUGAGUAAUACACCGGAACGUGUCCUGUAGUGGGGGAUAGCCCGGCGAAAGCCGGAUUAAUACCGCAUACGAUCUACGGAAGAAAGCGGGGGAUCCUUCGGGACCUCGCGCUAUAGGGGCGGCCGAUGGCAGAUUAGCUAGUUGGUGGGGUAAAGGCCUACCAAGGCGACGAUCUGUAGCUGGUCUGAGAGGACGACCAGCCACACUGGGACUGAGACACGGCCCAGACUCCUACGGGAGGCAGCAGUGGGGAAUUUUGGACAAUGGGGGAAACCCUGAUCCAGCAAUGCCGCGUGUGUGAAGAAGGCCUUCGGGUUGUAAAGCACUUUUGUCCGGAAAGAAAACUUCUGCCCUAAUACGGUGGGAGGAUGACGGUACCGGAAGAAUAAGCACCGGCU
rnacentral:rRNA from 1 species